GGAGAAUGCGGGGAGACCGCGUUUAGAGGAUCAGUGGCGGCGGGCCCGCGCGGUGCCGGCGACUAGCAGCGAGAUGUCCUGGCCCCUUCCAGGUUUGGAGAUGGCCUUGGGAGAGCAACCUCCGGACCUCAGCAGUGUGAGGAUGACAACAGUACCCUGUGGUGCUGUCCCCACUCAGGUUGGCUGCCAUCCCUGCUGAUGGAGAGAGGCUGAAGUCUGUCUGAGAAGAUAGUGCAGGCAGCUACUUAGCUGGUACUAAUUGUAUUUGCAGAGUAGGGGUGAGUCCAAUUCCUACUCAGAUUAGGUUUAGCCUCCCUGGCCUCACAGUGCUGGGAUGUUUGCAUAGGACAGAAGGUAGCAGAGAAACUUCAAGGGCAGGAAAGGGCAGAGGGAGGAGUUCCAUGGAUCAGCCUUGCCCAAGUGGAGCCCAGGGAUGUUAGCAACAGGACACGAAGGAGAGCACUAGGCUUCCGUGUCGAGUCCUGGGUAAAUCUGGAAGAACCUGCAAGUUGUCAUUUAGUUAUCUUCUCUGGGAUAAAAUGUGAUUUCCCUUCAGUGUCAGUGGCUGGUGAGCUCUUCUUCCAGAACCUUCUUACUGACACCUGAGUUUGACCUUUCAAAUGGGGACCCUGCUUUCCCAACUACCUAGCUUUUCUUUGCUUCGGGCAAACAGCUUACAUCCAAGUCCCCUGACCAGUCUUAAUUCUUUGUUUUGUUUUGUUUUUCAAUACAGGGUUUCUCUCUGUAGCCCCGACUGUCCUGGAACUCACUCUGCAGACCAGGCUGUCCUCAAGCUCAGAGAUCUACCUGCCUCUGCCUCUGAAGUACUGGGAUUAAAGAUGCAGAGGCCUCCCAGAGAAGUGUGAAGGAAUGGGCCUUAACCAGGGUUGAAGAAAGAAAGUGAAGAAGGGGAGAGCCCAAGGAAAGGUGGGGACAGUUGGAACUUUUGUUUACACUGGUCUACUACUCAUGUAUCGUAUGCUAUAAUCUCCAAAUUCCACAUUUAUUGUAGCUGUCUGCAGUGUGUAUGCCCCGGCCGCAUGCUGCUUGGCUAAAAAAGUGUUAAAUAAAACUGUAAGAAACGCUA
rnacentral:lncRNA from 1 species